GUUUUAAUAGUUUAACCAAAAUACUGGUCUUGUAAAUCAGUGAUAAGAAUUCUCUUUUAAAACU
rnacentral:tRNA from 1 species